CAUAAUCUUGCUGUCUUCUGUCUAAUGCUCCGUAACCGUAAUUAGUCUUAUCUCACCCAAUUGUAGUACAAACACAAGGGAAAACCAUGAGUGGGAGUACACAUGUACAAUCUUGUACUUCUUCACUACUCAUCUUGUGCAUAGCCCAUGUACUAACAUAGAUUGAGAUUGAUUCGGAUCGAGUCUUGGUCAGACUCCAUUCAAGAGUGAUUCUCACAAGGCAUUGCUGCAUACGUGCACCAUGUUCUCUUUUAGUUGAACUAUUUGUUAUUCUUUUAUAUAAAAUAAUUCACGAUUGAAUUAUUGCUGAACUUUCUAUAAGAUUAUUACUAAUAAUAACAUUUUGAAGACUUAUUGUCA